rnacentral:rRNA from 1 species
AGGCUGGUCUCCGGACCUUACCUGGUGAGAGGAGAGAAAGCAUGGGGACCGAUCAGGAUUAGAUCCCUUGGUAGUCCAUGCCGUUAAGGUUGGCCGCUAGGUGUGGGGACUUUGCACGGUUUCCGCAGCGUAGCCAACGCAUUAAGCGCCCCGCUUGGGGAGUACGGCCGCAAGGCUAAAACUCAAAGGAAUUGGCGGGGGCCCGCACAAGCGGGGGAGCAUGUUGCUUAAUUCGACGCACCGGGAAGAACCUUACCAAGGUUUGACAUCACCCGUGGACUCGCAGAGAUGUGAGGUCAUUUAGUUGGCGGGUGACAGGUGGUGCAUGGCUGUCGUCAGUUCGUGUCGUGAGAUGUUGGGUUAAGUCCCGCAACGAGCGCAACCCUUGUUCCAUGUUCCCAGCACGUAAUGGGGGGGAUUCAUGGGAGACUGCCGGGGUCAACUCGGAGGAAGGUGGGGAUGACGUCAAGUCAUCAUGCCCCUUAUGUUUUGGGCUGCAAACAUGCUACAAUGGCCGGUACAAUGGGCGUGCGAUACCGUAAGGUGGAGCGAAUCCCUAAAAGCCGGUUUCAGUUCGGAUUGGGGUCUGCAACUCGACCCCAUGAAGGGGGAGUCGCUAGUAAUCGCGGAUCAGCAACGCCGCGGUGAAUACGUUCCCGGGCCUUGUACACACCCCGCCGUCACAACAAAAAAGUCAGCA